ensembl:misc_RNA Metazoa_SRP Metazoan signal recognition particle RNA
GCUGGGUGGGGCGGCGGGUGCCUGUAGUCCCAGCUACUCAGGAGGCUGAGGCUGGAGGAUCGCUUGAGUCCAGGAGUUCUGGGCUGUAGUGUGCUAUGCCGAUGGGGUGUCUGCACAAAGUUUGGCAUCAAUAUGGUGACCUCCCGGGAGCGGGGGACCACCAGGUUGCCUAAGGAGGGGUGAACCGGCCCAGGUCAGAAACGGAGCAGGUCAAAACUCCCGUGCUGAUCAGGAAUAAAUUUAACAAGGUACCAAACUUAGACUCUGAAAACUGUAUAACAUU